rnacentral:lncRNA from 1 species
GUUCGUCAAUUCAUUCUCCAAUAUUUACAUCCGAGCUUCAUUUCUCUUAUUGAACAACUAAUCGAGGGUCCUCCAUAUUUCAUAUACUAAUUUACAUCUUAUGAUGUGGUCAAAUAAAUCGAAGGAGAUGGACCUCUUCAAAAUGAACCCCGCUUUUGCAUUAAUCUGCUUCCACUUUUUGUAUGGACUACUAUUCUCCAGUUCGUCGUCUAGAGGACUUGUGUUACCCUCGUUAACAACAUCCCACAAGUCCUCGCUUACAUGGUAUGAUUCCACACAAGUCUUUCAUAUCUUGUAAUUGAAACUACUUCAUUCCUAAUCCAUUGACGCCACCGCUUAAAUCCAUUCAGACAAAUCAAUUGAAUCGAUCAUAAAUCCAAUCUUGAAAUAAAUACAAGCCAAUCUAUGACUUUGACUCCGAUACCAUGUAGAGAAUAGCAGAAGAAAAGUGUAAUUGGGGAGACCUUUUGCUAGCCAAAGAUCGUUAACUAAGAUCGAAAGAUUCAAUAAAGAAGAGGAAGCUAUAAAAAGAGAAGUAAGAACUUUUAUAUGGAGAACACUACUUUG